CAAAAAAACCACCCCACGCACGAACCGCUCCCCUCCCUCUCCUCGCGCGAGCAUCCUCUCCUCGUACCCUUGCACGCGCUAGGGUUCCUGCGCCACCGCCAAGAGCUCGUCGACCAGCCCAGCGUCCUGUUGCUCCGUGCCCGCUUUCCUCGUCGCUCGCCUUCGGACUCCUCGCUUCCCUUAGGCGAUCCGUCGCUUGUCCGCAAGCCAAGCCGCCGCCUCUCCGCCGAGAAAGAGGGCUCGCCUCGCCACCGGUCAUCGCGCCGCCGGCGAGCUCUCCUGGCUCCCCCACUCCCCCCUCCUGUUUCUCUCUCUCACACACAAGGACAGACUUUCCCCUUCUUCUACAGGAGCAGCCAUGGCCACCAAUGACCGCUGCCUCGCCCUGAUCCGGUAGGAAUCGACCUCCUGCGGCCGAAUCCGCCCCAUCCCGACCUCGUUGGCCCUCCUCCCGGUCUUUGUCACGAUCCACCGCCAGGCUCUAAGACCAGUGCCUCCCUCUGAAUUUUAGUACGUUUUGUAUGUCCGUCCCACAAUCCCAUUAUCUAGCAGCAACUGCCGCCGCCGCCAGGAGCAGCCGCGCCCGGAGAUGCCCUCGUGGGCCGGCGCCGGCCAAGGAAGUCGCCAACUCGGACACCCCGCUCACCUUCCCCGAGGACGACGAGCACGACGAGGCUGCGGCGGAGGACGAGGCCAAGGCAUGUGUACAGGACAAGCCGAGGACGAGGCCCUAGAUUUCAUCGUCGAGGAGGAGCUGGUGGUUGAGGUGAAGGAGGAGGUCAUGGUGGUGUGGAGGAGGUCGAGGAGUAUGUGGAGCCGUCGGAGGAGGCCAAGGUGUACGUGUUCAACCUUCCCUAUGAUGUCAGCAGCGAGCGCCGAGCGCAGCUCUUCGAUCAGGCCGGUGUCGUUGAGGUUGCCGAGGCUAGCGCCGUCGAGGUUAUCGUGGUGAGCAGCUCUUCCUCUUAGACCAUCUUCAGUGCUGGAUGAUAGUUUCACAGUUGAUAUGUGGCAUCGGUGACAAAAGAUGCAUCAAGUUUGCACAAGGUGGCAAAUCCAACAAUUUAUGUACUGUAUUUGCAUUUUAAAAGAUAAUUUGGCUGCCAAAGUGCCACAUCGUAUCUCACUAGACCUAUUGAUUUAUAUCUGCCCGAGGACGACGAGCACGACGAGGCGGCGGCGGAGGACGAGGCCAAGGCAUGUGAACAGGAAAAGCCGAGGACGAGGCCCUGGAUUUCAUCGUCGAGGAGGAGCUGGUGGUUGAGGUGAAGGAGGAGGUCGUGGUGGUGUGGAGGAGGUCGAGGAGUAUGUGGAGCCGUCGGAGGAGGCCAAGGUGUAUGUGUUCAACCUUCCCUAUGACGUCAGCAGCGAGCGCCGAGCGCAACUCUUCGAUCAGGCCGUUGUCGUUGACGUUGCCGAGGCCAGCGCCGUCGAGGUUAUCAUGGUGAGCAGCUCUUCCUCUUAGACCAUCUUCAGUGCUGGAUGAUAGUUUCACAGUUGAUAUGUGGCAUCGGUGACAAAAGAUGCAUCAAGUUUGCACAAGGUAAAUAAUUGAAGGUGUAUUCAAUCUGUAAUUAGCACCCAUACUUAGCAUCAAGUGGUUACAGAGUUACUUAAAAAACGGUGACAGAGAGGACGAUUAGAUGGUUUUUAAUUUUACGGUAUUUAUUUUCUUGUAGUUUUGAGCAUCUACACAGGCGACCCACAUUAUAGAUGAUGUUAGCGUGCUGCCGCUGUAAUUCCUUUUUAGACACACGCACAUUUUGUCUGGUGAAGGGAGUGCCUCAAAUCAUCAGACCACUGAUUAUGUGUCAUGUUCUUGCAAGACUGAAACUGUAAAUGAUGACUGAUUUAAUGUGGUGGUUGUGUUGUUGAACCUCAUAUGAUGGAGCAACCAGCCGUGGUGCAGAGGCUAGAUAGUUUUAGUAUUCAGACUUUCAGUUGCUGCUAGCUCUACUCUGCUUUGUUCUUUCGUAAUGGCAAUGUAGCGGCUGUGUGAUACGAUUGCAACGCCGAGUCUUCACUGCAUAUUACCUACCGGAACUGGUAUUGUUUUUGUCGACACAAAAAUCUAACCUGAAUUUGCUAUUCAGGUGGCAAAUCCAACAAUUUAUGUACUGUAUUUGCAUUUUGCAAGAUAAUUUGGCUGCCAAAGUGCUACAUCAUAUCUCACUAGACCUAUUGAGUAAGUGGUAAUUUUUCCUUUAUAUAUCAUUCAGAUUUCUAUAUGCACUCUUCAUAGAUUCCUUGCAUUGUUCAGUUACCAAUUUUCGUAAGGGUCAUACUUAUUGGACAAAAUAAACUGUAUUGGUUUUCAGUUUAUAUCUGUCCAUGGUUUUGCUCAUAUCACAAAUAUUGACAGCUAGACAGUUCCCGAGUUUGGUGCAACCGAAACACUUAUAAUCCAGUCCAACAUAGAUAGUAUACUCCUAUUGGAACAUGCAUUUAUCUUCCUCGAUGAGUAUGGCAGAAUCCAACAUCCGUUCGUCCUCUAAAUUGGGGCUCCAUGGCUGCCAACCGACGGAGCAAGAAAAGAGACCACCCUCUCCUCCUCCGGUUUGGAGCUCCAUGGCCGCCAUUCGACAGGCGCACUUCGUCAUUGCCUCCUCACCGCCUCACCUGGUAGACCGCAGGUGCCAACAUCGCCCACAACCUGCCUCAUGUUCGGUCAACAAGCUGUAGUUCAAUUAGGUACAUUGCUCCUCUUACAUGAAGAGCCUAGCAAGAUCAUGGUCUUCUCUCAUUCUCUUCUGAACAAUAUAUACACUGUAGGUAUGUGAGAAAAAAUAUUGUAUUGCUUGGAAAAAGCAUGCAAAAUUAGCAGGCAUCUCACAUGGCACCUGAAUUGGCGACAUGUAGAUCCAGUUCUUUGGCGACAUGCAAAGCUGCCGGCGGUUGUUUGAUCAAUUGUAUGAGGUAUCUCACAUGGCACCUGAAUGCGUAUUAAUGGUGUCAAUCUGUAUCUACAUGUCGUGUGGUACAAAAGCCAAAAAGGAGCAGCAGGAUGGCCGGUCCAAGCUUGAGCAGAUUCUGUGAUGGGGUUCGAUGCUGAAAUUCAUUAGAUUUCAGUUCUGUAUAGUUUCAGGUUGGUUGCCAAUGAAAUAGACUGUCCAAGGCGCCUGAAGAAAAUGUAAUCCAAUGGUAACACAAUUAAUUAUUUGAAGUUGAUUAAAAAAUACAGAGAGGGCGGCGUGGACCAGUAGGUUCAAUUUCAUCUUUUAUGUAAUCUUUGUGUUGAUUUCUUUUGAAUUGCAAAAUCAUUUGUUGAUACCUUUCUUCCCUUUCAGUCAUAAAAUGUAAGCAUCACGCUGUUUUAUAAGGUGACCUUCCACAUUUAGUCCGAGAUUUUGUUCAUACCUUUAUUUUACUUUCGAACCGCCUUCUCUUUUAAGAUUAUCAAAUGAUAUCUUUAACUAUUUUAUAAGGUACAGUUUUAAAUUUAGUCCGAGAUUUUUUUUUUGUACAUUGAGUUUAGUUAUAUGUUAUAAUUGAUAUAGUUCUUACCUAAUUUGACAAACAAUGAUGGCUCCAAUGCCUAUGUCGCUUGUUUGCUACAAAAUGUAACAUGUGAUUUAUCUUUUACCGAUCUUCGUCAAAGUGUUUUUGUUUAUACAUUGCAGGAACCUAUAAGCCAAUAGUAUUAGCUUUAGAUGGCUUUCCAGGGAUUGAAGUGGUUGGAGCUGCAGGCCGAACUCAAAUUAUUUGUUUUUUCAAUACCAUUUGUUAAUUCAAUUGCAAACAUUGUGGUACACGUAUUAUGCUAAUAGGUAAAGCUUCUAUUAUUUACACCUUUUUUUAUUUAACAAAAUUGAAUGUACAAUUAGACGUUUAAGUAAGUUUUCUUUGUGUAGAUACACCAUCUAGCCUUACUCACGCCCAACUCUUUUUAUCAUUCACUUCCAACUAUAUUUUUCACUUUGUGUAGAUAAAGACAUGUCCCAAUCUUCUUUGUCUGCUCACGUAUGGUAUGCAUGAAUCUCUAAGAAUAAUGUGGAAUCAUCUCAUCUUCAUGCUACUUCGCCAAGCAAGCUUACAUAUUUUUUGAUCUAUAGUUCAUUUUUAAUACAUGAGGCGAUCUGAAUUUAAGGAAGAACUCUAUGUUGUCUGCUUGAAUCAAUUGUUCAUCUCUACAUUAACGAAUAGUAUGGAGAAAUACAGAAGAUUUGUUCAGACUUCAGAAAUGUGUGGUUGAGGAGACAGGAACACAUAGCAGUCUGCACUACACACUUGACAUACAUGCAAAGGAUCUUCACUAAGAUAUAUCGAGCAGAGCUCAUCACAACAUCCUGUGAUGUUCUCAACCAUGUUAUCCUUCACGAUAAACAUAUUUUGAGGGAGACAAGAGAGCAUCCAAGCACGACCAUGUUGAUCUUGAUGUCUUGCUGCAGUACAAGCGGCUGUUGUCCCUUGAUCCAGGUAUGAUUUCUGAAGAUUAUUUCACUAAUUAGCUAUACCCAGUGUAUAUCUGGCACGUCCACUUCUAAAUGAACAAGAUAUUUCAAGGUGAUGCAUCUUGUCGUGGUCUUUGUCUGUGCUAUCCGUCUUCCUCAUUUGUGCUAAUUUGAUUACUCUUUUUUGAAGGCUGCAUCGUCGGGUUUCUCAUAACAUGUUGGUAGAUUUUAUCUAUUGUCUUCUUAAGAAAUAGAUCGACCCAAAACAUUGUUCAUAUUUACAUGUUGAUUAUUUUCGUAGAUUUAUGAUCCAAAUACAUGACCCAGUACAAGAUUACGAGCUUGGAGUCGUCCUUCUUGUUUGGGAGGGCAGAUUUGGUACUAAACACUUAAUUGGUGUUGAUAGACUUGUACUGUGAAAAAUAAUGGUAAUAUGAACAGACUGAUAGUGGUACACAUAGGGUGACAAGGAGUUAUUAUUUUCAUUCCUAUAUGCAACUUUUCUGGCACUAACCAAUAGUAUUGUGCUGCCAGAACACCA